UGUGGCAGCAGUUGUAAACAGUCGCCAUGGCGGGCGGAGGGGGAGGCGGCCUUCUCGCUAUUUCCAUAGUAUCUCUGCUGAAUUAUGUGAUAGCUAAGCCGUCAACGGGGACAGAUAUUGUUCUAGAUGAAAAAGUUUUAACUACUCAUCGAAUUGACAGUUUAAAUAUAUUAUUAUAUACGUUCUUGUUAAUUCUGACUGUGGUGACAAUCUGGAUCUUCAAGUAUCGGCGGGCGCGGUACCUGCACGAGACCGGCCUGGCUGUCAUCUAUGGAUUAAUAGUGGGUGCCAUCUUGAGGUACAGUGGAGACAACACUUCACUGAGUCAUAUGAGAGUCAUUGCAGCACCAGGAGAAGGAUAUAAAGAAAAUGUUCCUCCAGACACACUGUGGUUCAAAUAUGCUUAUGCAAACAGUAGUCAAAAUAGAACAUAUGCAUACUCUUUCAAAGGAGAGAUCCCAGAGACACUUGAAACUGAAAUUGUUCAAAAGGCUACUUUUGAUCCAGAGAUUUUCUUCAAUAUACUCCUUCCUCCCAUCAUAUUCAGUGCUGGCUACAGUCUUAAAAGGAAACAUUUUUUCAAAAACUUAGGGGCCAUUUUCACUUUUGCCUUUCUGGGAACAACAAUAUCAACAUUUGUUGUUGGUGGUAUCGUGUAUGGUUUAUUGUACCUGCUUGGAUCGUCAAUGACCUUCAUUGACAGUCUGCUGUUUGGGGCAUUGAUAUCAGCAACUGAUCCUGUAACAAUUUUGGCUAUCUUCUCUGAUCUUCAUGUUGAUGUUAAUUUGUAUGCAUUGGUGUUUGGAGAAAGUGUCUUAAAUGAUGCUGUCGCAAUUGUUCUAACAAGUGCAAUAGAAAGUUACGGAGGCACAAGUGGAGGAUUUGAAACAUCGGCUUUCUUCUUGGCCAUCGUUAACUUCCUGUGGAUCUUCAGCAUGUCUUUCAUCAUUGGCUCAGUAAUGGGUUGCCUUACUGCCAUCCUCACAAAGUUCACCCGCUUGAAGGAUUUCCCUCUUCUGGAGGCAGCACUCUUUGUCCUCAUGUCAUACUCUACAUUCCUCAUGGCAGAAGCUGCUGAUUUAACAGGAAUUGUUGCUGUGUUAUUCUGUGGAAUAUGUCAAGCACAUUACACCUACAACAACUUGUCAACUGAAAGUCGCAUAAAUACAAAGGCCAUCUUUGAAUUACUUAAUUUCUUAUCAGAAAAUUUCAUCUUUUCAUACAUUGGAGUCUCAAUGUUUACCUUUGCUCACCACAAGUGGGAUGUUAGUUUCAUCCUUAUAGCUUUUAUAGCUAUCAUAAUUGGAAGAUUCAUGAAUAUAUAUCCAAUGUCCUGCUUGCUCAACAUUGGACGACAGCCAAAAAUACCUCUGAAUUUCAUGAAUAUGCUGUUCUUCUCAGGCCUUAGAGGGGCCAUUGCCUUUGGCUUGGCCAUCCGCAACACCAGCAGUGAUUCUCGCAAAUCCAUAUUGACCACAACCUCCCUUAUUGUCAUAGUCACCGUUAUACUCUGUGGAGGACUAACUACUCAAGUCCUAUCAUGGCUGGGCAUUCCUGUUGACGUUGAUGAUGAUGAGACCCACCACCUCAACCAGUUCCAGCCUAUCAGAAAUAGUUACAAAAGCAUUGAUGGUACAAGGGGUCCUGGAGUGGAAGAGGGAGGAGAAACCGCAACAGACUCGAACAAAUUUGAGAAAGCAUGGCUCCUUCGUAUCUGGUCACAGUUUGAUGUGCGAUAUAUGAAGCCCUUCUUAACUAACAGUCGACCUACACUUUUGGACACAACGCCUCUGUGUUGUGCCCCUCUCGCCAGGCUACUGACAACAACAGAGCAGUUAACACAGGAUCACAAUCCUCUUAAUGAUGACAUGCUUGACGACACACUAAUUGGAUCCGGAGGAGUGCGUACCUCCAUAGAUUCUUCAAGGCAGGAUGGACUCAUCGGCUCUGGCGCCCGGGCACUAAAGCGGGAGCGUGACUGUGGGGAUAACCAUAGCCAACUCAGUAUUGAUGCCCAGAAUUUCAUGUAACUAACAACCCUGUUCAUCAACCAUCACCACAACCACUACUUACUCCUGCUAGCACUCCCACCACCAUGGAACUACUAACUACUGAACGACCAGACUGAAUGUAACUAACCCAGUGUAUGAUGGGGACUUAGGCCUGGGUUCUGCAGGAAGUGUGGCCACUCGUGUGUCUGUGGCCGGGUCUCGAGGCCAAGAUCUGUGAAUAAUUAUUGACUGCUCUGGUGAAGCAUAUCUUAUCCAUCUUUGCCUGCAUUGAAAAAUCCAUGGCUUCUGCUGACUGGUGUAAAUAUGACAAAAAACUGUUUCCAUGAAAUGACAAAUGUGACAUUCUAGAAAUAUAUCUGAAAAUGUUGAAAUAUGUGUUGCAAAGGACUCAAGACAUCUCUCAAUGUGUUGAAAAAUUUUGUGUGAAAAGUUGUCAAAAGCAGUGUGAGUGUACAUUGACAAUGGUGUAUCAGUGUUAAUUAUUCGCAUAAGUGGUGUUUGAGUGUCACUGUGCAGUUCACCCAUGUCCUAUACAGUGCUGCAAAAGUAAAUAUGUGCUCAACACUAGUUUCAAAUCACUUGCAUUGCAUUCUGAUUACAAGAUGGUCUUAUAAGCUUUUUUGUUCAUAGAAUUACAGAGGGUGAUACAUGGUAUUCAUGCUAAAUUGUAUACUGUACAAUAGUAAAUUACAGAGUUGAAUAUUUUUAUUAGUAAUAAUAUUUCUUUUUCAUAAUUUCAUGUGAUGAAUUAAUUCAUUCUUUGUGGUUGUGCAGUAUAAUAUUGUGCAUCUGCAUAUAGUAAUGUCAUAUACAGAAUGUAAAUAUGUUUUUGUUUUUAACUUAAGUAAUCUUAUAUAUUUUCAUGAUGUUCAUAAUAAAUUAUCACUGAUACUAGAAAAACCUUCAGAUGGGGAAAAGUUCACUCAAGUUCAUUCUAAUUCAUAAUCUCAUGCAGGUGUUCAUGUUCAUGAUAAGGGACAUCACACACACACACACACACACACACACACACACACACACACACACACACACACACACACACACUCAGUCAUAUCCAAAGAUUGGUCACUAUGAGCUCUGAGCUCUUUCCGUAGGGGAAUGGCUGGCUGGGUGACCAGCAGACGACCGUAGGUGAAUCACACACACACACACACACACACACACACACACACACACACACACACACACACACACACACACACACACACACACACACACACAU